AACGAACGCUGGCGGCAUGCCUAACACAUGCAAGUCGAACGAGACCUUCGGGUCUAGUGGCGCACGGGUGCGUCACGCGUGGGAACCUGCCCUUAGGUUCGGAAUAACUCCCCGAAAGGGGUGCUAAUACCGGAUAAUGUCUUCGGACCAAAGAUUUAUCGCCUUUGGUUGGGCCCGCGUUGGAUUAGCUAGUUGGUAGGGUAAAAGCCUACCACGGCGACGAUCCAUAGCUGGUCUGAGAGGAUGAUUAGCCACACUGGGACUGAGACACGGCCCAGACUCCUACGGGAGGCAGCAGUGGGGAAUAUUGGACAAUGGGCGAAAGCCUGAUCCAGCAAUGCCGCGUGAGUGAUGAAGGCCUUAGGGUUGUAAAGCUCUUUUACCCGGGAUGAUAAUGACAGUACCGGGAGAAUAAGCUCCGGCUAACUCCGUG
rnacentral:rRNA from 1 species